rnacentral:misc_RNA from 1 species
GAUGAAGAACGCAGCGAAAUGCGAUAAGUAGUGUGAAUUGCAGAAUUCAGUGAAUCAUCGAAUCUUUGAACGCACAUUGCGCCCGCCAGUAUUCUGGCGGGCAUGCCUGUUCGAGCGUCAUUACAACCCUCAGGCCCCCGGGCCUGGCGUUGGGGAUCGGCGGAAGCCCCCUGCGGGCACAACGCCGUCCCCCAAAUACAGUGGCGGUCCCACCGCAGCUUCCAUUGCGUAGUAGCUAACACCUCGCAACUGGAGAGCGGCGCGGCCACGCCGUAAAACACCCAACUUCUGAAUGUUGACCUCGAAUCAGGUAGGAAUACCCGCUGAACUUAAGCAUAUCAAUAAGCGGAGGA